rnacentral:lncRNA from 1 species
AAAUCAGUUGUCUUAGUUUAAGCUACUAUAACAAGGUACUGUAGACUGAUGGCUUAUAAGCAACAGAAACUUAUUUCUCAGUUCUGUAGUCUGGAGGUCCAAGAUCAAGGUGACACUGUGGUCAGGUUCUGAUGAGGGCCCUCUUCUGGGUUAUAAACUACGGACUUCUUGUAUCCUUACAUGGCAGAAAGAGCGACAGAGCUCUCUGUAGUCCCUUUUAUAAGCUCACUAAUCCCAUUCAUGAGGGCCCUACCCUCAUGACCCAAUUACCUCCCAAAUGCCCCUCCUCCAAACACCACCACUUUGGGGGUUAAGAUUUCAACAGAUGAAUUUUGAAGGGACACAAACAUUCAGUCCAUAGCAUCACUUAUCAAGCUAGUAUUUAAUACCUCUUAGGCCCCGUGGAAGGGAAAAUAGAUAGGAACCUGCCCUGAAAGAUGCUUCAGUUGGGGAGAAAAGGUGAAAUUCCAUUGUUAGACAAUUUGUUUAAGACAAUACAUCUUGCUUGAGAAGGAAUAGAAGGGAAAUGAAAUGGGGGGAGGGAGUGGUAGGAGAUGGAGGCUUUGAAAGAAAAUAACCAGAUUUAGAAACAUGGGUAUAGAAAGCAUCCUCCAGUACUUCUGUAACAAUUUAUCAAGACCUACAGGAAGUCAGUUUUGGAUUUGCUCCUCCGAGAUUUGCGAGCCAGAGGAAAAUACUUAGACUAUCAGGUUGGAAAGUUCACACUUGGACCAGGAAAAGACCAAGCAGUUGCUAUAGUCUCCUGGAUUGUGACUAAUCUGGAGGAAGCAAGUCCCUGUAUCCUUGGCAAAGCUUGAAAGGCAGGCAAAUGUCUUCUCUGUGUUUUCUGACAGGUGGUUGGGUGGUGGGGGUUGGUCUCUGUACCUCCUGUUCUUUACCUUGCUUACCAAGCCCUUCCACCGACUCACUCCUGCCUCCCCAGCUAAAAAUUGGCUGUGUUGCUUUUACCACAGUUACCAAGGUCUGAGUUUUAUAAAAUCCAGGAUCACAUCUGACCUCACCUGGUAGAUAUCUAGGCCAAUAAAGUCUAAAGGGCUAAAAAGAAGGUACCUCUCCAUCCUGUCUCCUCGAGGCCAGGCAGCACAUGUGCAGUUAAGAGGCCUCCUGGAUCCAUUGUCCUCCUGUUGCUUUUCGUUCUAAGUGAUCCAAACUCUAUUGCUGAUAGGGAAUAAAAGCAGGGCAGGCUAGUAGUGGGCAAGUGCUUUGAUGGAGCGUAUCUCCAAGCAGGGCCCAAGUUUAGGAGGAGGAAGACCUGAUACAAUGAAUGAACAGUGCGUCCUCCCAACCCAACCAAGAAGUGUAAUUGUGUUCCGUCUUUAACCCUGGCAUGGAAUGGGGAGGGAAGAGGCAUGGACAUUUAUUACAUAGUGCACAUUAUCUACAUUCUCUGCAUGUGACCCAGAUGUCAGCCCUUCCGCUUCCUGCGAAGGUUACCUCUAAUGCACGUUGCCCCAGGCCCUGCUGAGCUAGUUCCUCACCGCAGCUACUUAACUCACCAUGAAUUCCUAGAACCCUCAGCCUCUGAGAGUGCUGGGAUCUGGCGGGAGAACAGGCAGUACUUCCCUCACUAACCUACCCGCACGCCAUACCAUCAUUGUGCAAAGCUGCCUCAUGCUGGAAGGUCUGGUUUACGUAAAAGUGACAAGUUGGAAUUGAGCGUCCGACUCUCGGGUACCUGCCCCAGGCAUUUCUCAUCAGCCCCAUUUCCCACACAGCUCUCUCCUAGGCGCAGCCCUCCUUCACCACCACCACCCCCACCCCAAUCACCUUUAGGUAUUUUCUCCCCUAAAGCCUCACCUGUUGGCAUUUUACAUCUUUUUAAGACCUUAUUUUGUAUUUUAAAUGUAUGAGAAAAAUUAUGGAGGAUGAUGCAAGAUGAGUGAGUCCAUAAUGGUAAUAAUUGGACACUAAAAACAAUGAAAACUUGUCUCAAGUAUUUGUGUUGAAAUCUCAAUUAACUGGGCGACUGCUCCCGUUCCAUUUUAUUCUGUAAAAUAUGUGGCAUCCUUUGUGUUGAGGCGGCAUUUACUAAACACCCCCAAGGUGCAAGGCUGCAAGAGAAUCGAGCGCCGCAAGGCGAGCUUAUCUUCCACACCUGGUACAGUGCCCAGGACAGAGAAGGUGUUUAGCAAGUUUCUGCUGAAUGGAAGAGUGAGCGAGAAGGGAAAGUGCAUCUAAAAAGCACAGGGAACCUACAAAAUAUUUGGGAAAGGGUUUCAUCAGUUCGGGUGAAAUCUUGAACGUGCAAAGCACCAUGGGGGUGGCUGGACAGGCUUGUUGGAGUCGUAUAAUGCAAUGAAUAAAAACUUACGGCUGCCUUAAAUGCAAAUGUCAAGCCCUUAAAUAAAAUUUAACAAAGUC